rnacentral:rRNA from 1 species
UACGUAGGGACCGAGCGUUGUCCGGAAUCAUUGGGCGUAAAGAGCGUGUAGGCGGCCACUUAAGUCCUGCGUGAAAUCCUGCGGCUCAACCGCAGGCGGUCGUGGGAAACUGGGUGGCUAGAGUGCGGGAGAGGAGAGUGGAAUUCCUGGUGUAGCGGUGAAAUGCGCAGAUAUCAGGAGGAACACCAAUUGCGAAGGCAGCUCGCUGGGACGUUACUGACGCUGAGACGUGAAAGCGUGGGGAGCAAACAGG